rnacentral:rRNA from 1 species
GACAGAGGGGGCAAGCGUUGCUCGGAAUCACUGGGCGUAAAGGGCGCGUAGGCGGGAUGGCAAGUCGGUCGUGAAAUCCUUCGGCUCAACCGAAGAACGUCGGCCGAUACUGCCGUUCUUGAGGGAUGCAGAGGAGUUUGGAAUUCCUAGUGUAGCGGUGAAAUGCGUAGAGAUUAGGAAGAACACCAGUGGCGAAGGCGACUUACUGGACUGUAACUGACGCUGAGGCAUGAAAGCGUGGGGAGCAAACAGG